rnacentral:rRNA from 1 species
AUUGAACGCUGGCGCCAGGCCUAACACCUGCACGUCGCGCGGGGUUUUCGGACCUAGCGGCGGACGGGUGAGUAAUGCGUACGACGCUACCCGAUACAGGGCGAUACCAGUUGGCAACGACUGUUAAUACCGCAUAAUGCCUACGGACCAAAGUGUGGGACCUUCGGGCCACAGCCUAUCGGAUGCGUCUACGUGGGAUUAGCUAGUUGGUGAGGUAAUGGCCCACCACGGCUACGUGCCCUAUCUGGUUUGAGAGGAUGAUCAGCCACACUGGGACUGAGACACGGUCCAGACUCCUACGGGAGGCAGCAGUGGGGAAUAUUGGACAAUGGGCGCAAGCCUGAUCCAGCCAUGCCGCGUGUGUGAAGAAGGCCUGCGGGUUGUAAAGCACUUUCAGUAGGGAGGAAGCGGUGUGUGUUAAUAGUACACAGCGUUGACGUUACCGACAGAAGAAGCACCGGCUAACUCUGUGCCAGCAGCCGCCGCCGUAA